GUCGGUAGCUCAGCCGGUAGAGCAGCGGACUUUUAAUCCGUUGGUCGCGAGUUCGAAUCUCGCCCGACC
rnacentral:tRNA from 1 species